rnacentral:tRNA from 1 species
GCCGAAGUGGCGGAAUUGGUAGACGCGCAUGUUUCAGGUACAUGUGAGCGCAAGCUCAUGGAGGUUCAAGUCCUCUCUUCGGCA